rfam:Oryctolagus cuniculus unplaced genomic scaffold chrTn0114, whole genome shotgun sequence.
GGCGCUGUGGCACAGCGGGUUAAUGCCCUGGCCUGCAGUGCCAGCAUCCCAUAUGGGCGCCGGUUCUAAUCCUGGCUGCUCCA